rnacentral:lncRNA from 1 species
AAAAAAAAAAAAAAAAAAAAGAACUUGUAGCCCAUAAUACGAAGAACUUCACAAGGUAUUUGGUAAGUAAGGAAAGGCUAUGUGGCCUCUAAAACAUCAAUAAAUAUCAGCCACUAUAAGAGAAAGCCUCACUUACACCUCCACCCCUGAAAAUGGACUAAAGUAAUCCCAGACUUUUAUUCCCCCAGGGAUCUGACAGAAACAAGCCCAAACCUUCUCUAGAGGAACAGACCAUCAUCCUAGGCCUCAAACUAUUUCUACAAACAGAUUUUCAAAUAUUAUGUUCAUCAUUUGAUCACUGCCAGUGUAGAAUACCAU